GUAGAUUAGAGGCGAUACUUCCCAUUAUGAUGCUGUGGCUAAUUCAGCUGCAUCCGGAGUACUGUCUGCAGGCCUUAAUUCUGGCUCUCAAUCGAGCUGGUGGUAAGUCCGGAAAUAAAGGUGCUGAAGCAGCGCUGACAGCUAUUGAAAUGGCUUCUUUGUUUGAACACCAUCUGAAAUUUUAGGAAGCAGGUGCUGUCGACCAACAUUAGAGCUUUGUACUGUUGUGAUUCUUCUCUUCUGAACUCUUCUAAGCAGGCAGAAUAGGAUUCCUUACUCCAAAGAUUUUGUGUUGUAAUUCCCUGCAUGCAUUCAGUCGUGGGCUACAUUGGGUUACAUGGAAUAUUUGUUGGGAUUUUUGUAAACCUUAUAUAAUAGUUUCUUCUCUACUCUCAUGCACUACGUUGGUUUCUAAUUUGAUGUUUGUAGGGAUUUCUGUCAAUUUGUAAACAAAUUUGUUGGUGAAACCAGUGCCAGUUUCUUUUCAAGCUUGGUAACUUAAGUAGCAAUCUAGUAGCAUUGGGCAAGGUUCUGUUGCUUCUU